GGGGGUCCAACAUGAGGCCCGUGGACCAAAAGCGGUCCUCCAGAGGGUCCAACAUGAGGCCCGUGGACCAAAAGCGGUCCUCCAGAGGGUCCAACAUGAGGCCCGUGGACCAAAAGCGGUCCUCCAGAGGGUCCAACAUGAGGCCCGUGGACCAAAAGCGGUCCUCCAGGGGGUCCAACAUGAGGCCCGUGGACCAAAAGCGGUCCUCCAGGGGGUCCAACAUGAGGCCCGUGGACCAAAAGCGGUCCUCCAGAGGGUCCAACAUGAGGCCCGUGGACCAAAAGCGGUCCUCCAGAGGGUCCAACAUGAGGCCCGUGGACCAAAAGCGGUCCUCCAGAGGGUCCAACAUGAGGCCCGUGGACAAAAAGCGGUCCUCCAGAGGGUCCAACAUGA